CAGACAUCGUCACCGGUGUGGAAACUGGAAACAACACUAAUGAUAUUUGUCUUCACAUUGCUUUUCAAUCAAUAAAAUACGUGACGACGUGACGUAUCGAUAUCAUAAAUGGCUACAAUCGUCUAAAUCGAAACUCACGUGGAUCCGCGUGAUCGCGUGCUAAAUAUACUAGCGUGGCUCUGUUACUCACCACUUUCAGCCUCCACAGUCGUCGCAGCAUCGAUAACGAGAGACCAGCAAGGGAACGUUCGAUUCGACUCGACUCGAGGAGGGAAUUCGACCGAGGAAGGAGAAUCUUCGUUAGCGACAAUUGAAAUUCACUUCCCUUCUCUUUUCUUUUCUUUUUUUUUCUUUUCGAUAUCGCCAGAAAAUCUUAUCUUUUCGAUGAGAAUAAGUACAAAUGUGUCUCUAUGUUACGUCAACACGAACUCGAUAACGUUCCUCCUCGUCCUGGCCAAACUUUUGACUAACAGCCACCGCGGUUUCGUAAUUUGAGAAUGCGAUCUGAAUGACAAUCGAGGCGAGGCUCACGAGCUUUCGAGUCGCGCACGAGAGGGGCAAGAAGAGAACUUUGGAGUAUAGAUAGAUGGAGAUAGAUGAUUCUUUGUUUAAUUUACAUCUUGCCAGAAUCGAUUUUAUUGUAAAGGAAUGAACGGCCAAACUUUGCAGUUGCAGUUUAUUAUUUUUCUAAAAUGGUGAAAGGAAAUUUUGGGUAAUUUUUUCUUUUUAAUGAGAGAGAUAUAAAAUCCCUUCUCAUCGUUAAAAAAAUUUAAGUAUUUUCAUGAGUGACACAUAAGUGUUCUAUCUUUUAUUUUUAUUAUUUAAGUGUUCCUCUCUUUAUGUUACUUUGUCUCCAUCGAUCUUUGAAUCUCCAAAGGAAUAUUCAUUUCCCUGACACGAAAGAAUGGCGGAAACAGAGAGUUACGAUUGAAAUUGAUUAAUGUUGUCAUUAAUCACCUAUUCAUAUACACACACACACACAUACAUGAUUUCCAUAAUUUAUUUUUUUAAAAAUUUUGUUUCUCCUUUUUUGCACGUCAUAAUUUUAAUUUAGUCGAUGUAUACUUAGUCUUCGAGGGAUCGUUCUCGAGACAAUGUUGUAAAAUGUAUAUAUUUGCCUCAUCGUAAUAAUCAAUAACAAUAAAAGAACACGAACACGUUGAACGUGCACGACACCUCAGUAAACCUAUAAAUCUAAAAAUAUUUCAAACCGCCUAAUCCCUUAAAACAUUAUUACACUGUCUAAUAAACUGUUUGCACACAUCCUCCAAUAUCUACUGUCUCUCGCUCUCUCUUCGUUAUUUGUCUCUUAUAUAAUCUCAUUUAUACAAUAUACUCUGACACUCAUUUAUACGUACUCUGAUACUCUCUUAUCCUCGUUCACUCAUACACUCUUUCGCAUUCCUCGUUUCAUUCGUUCCUAACAGACAGAAUUUCACUCGUUCGUCUAUUUGCCUAUCUUUUUCUUUAGUUUAAUAGUAGCUAGUUUUCUUUGACUUCUUCUUCGGCACAUACGCAUGACUUCAUAUAUAUAUUUUUUUUUUUUUGUGUACGUUAUUAUAUUAAUGGUGUGUCAAAUUUGUAUUGUUACUGCAUAUAACUUAAUUUAAUCUAAACUAAGGAGAUGUG
rnacentral:lncRNA from 1 species